rnacentral:rRNA from 1 species
AGUGAACGCUGGCGGUAGGCCUAACACAUGCAAGUCGAACGGCAGCACAGUAAGAGCUUGCUCUUACGGGUGGCGAGUGGCGGACGGGUGAGGAAUACAUCGGAAUCUACUUUUUCGUGGGGGAUAACGUAGGGAAACUUACGCUAAUACCGCAUACGACCUGCGGUUGAAAGCAGGGGAUCUUCGGACCUUUCGCGAUUGAAUGAGCCGAUGUCGGAUUAGCUAGUUGGCGGGGUAAAGGCCCACCAAGGCGAGGAUCCGUAGCUGGUCUGAGAGGAUGAUCAGCCACACUGGAACUGAGACACGGUCCAGACUCCUACGGGAGGCAGCAGUGGGGAAUAUUGGACAAUGGGCGCAAGCCUGAUCCAGUCAUACCGAGUGGGUUAAGAAGGCCUUCGGGUUGUAAAGCCCUUUUGUUGGGAAAGAAAGGCAGCAGGUUAAUAACCAGCUGUUCUGACGGUACCCAAAGAAUAAGCACCGGCUAACUUCGUG